UACAGAGGUGGCAAGCGUUGUUCGGAAUUACUGGGCGUAAAGGGCGCGUAGGCGGUCUUGUCAGUCCCUUGUGAAAUCCCCCCGGCUCAACUGGGGAACUGCAAGGGAAACAGCAGGGCUUGAGUUCGGGAGAGGGAAGCGGAAUUCCGGGUGUAGCGGUGAAAUGCGUAGAUAUCCGGAGGAACACCGGUGGCGAAGGCGGCUUCCUGGACCGAUACUGACGCUGAGGCGCGAAAGCUAGGGGAGCAACGGG
rnacentral:rRNA from 1 species